rnacentral:rRNA from 1 species
GUCUAUUGCCAUACUAUCCUGAACGCGCCCGAUCUCGUCCAUCUCGGAAGCUAAUCAGAGUGGGGCCUGGUUAGUACUUGGAUGGGAGACUACCUGGGAAUAUUGCAUGCUGUGGGCU